rnacentral:tRNA from 1 species
AACACUUUAGUAUAAAUAAGUACUUUUAAUUUCCAAUUAAAAAGAUAAAUAGUGUUA